AGAGUUUGAUCCUGGCUCAGGACGAACGCUGGCGGCGUGCUUAAUACAUGCAAGUCGAGCGAGGUUUGUAGCAAUACAAACUUAGCGGCGGACGGGUGAGUAACGCGUGGGCAAUCUGCCCUCUAGCCUGGGAUAACAGUUCGAAAGGACUGCUAACACCGGAUAAUGUUAUCUUGCGACAUCGCGAGAUAAUUAAAGUU
rnacentral:rRNA from 1 species